ensembl:lncRNA
AGACUUAAUUACUUCUCUGUCUACUUUUCUUACUCCAUGUAGGUUUCCCAGAGACUAUGGGUUGAGGAGGAAUUGGAAGUUUGUCGGCUUAGACCUGUGUCAUUCCAUCAGUGUUAAACUUCCCGGCUCAUCUUGGAAGAGUACGUGCCAGAAAGACCACAACCAAGCAGCCUUGAGAUCUUAGGCAGCGUCUCCCUCAGACCAAAGAACUACAGACUCUUCACAACCUGCUCAAACUCUUGGUACAGGACCUCACCACACAGGUAAAGAAGGUUUCCUUCUCAUUUCUACUCUGAAGCUCACUUUCUCCUG